GGGUGCGGCGCACAUGGGAGCAUUAGGGUUCUAAGAUAGUUUAGGUUGUGGGCUUGUAAUUUUUGGGCUAGGGUUUUUGUAUUUUAGGCGUGUAAUAAUUUUUCUUUUGGGCUUGUAAUUUUUGGACUGGACUGUUUAAUUAUUUUGGAAAUUUUAUUUAUUUUUGUAUUUGGUUUUUUUCUGGUUUGGUCUCGGGCAAAUUUGGGCAUUUACAGCUACCCCUCUAUGCUCAUUGUCGUGUAACUGGAAUGAAGCAAAUACUUUA
rnacentral:lncRNA from 1 species